rnacentral:lncRNA from 1 species
AAAAAGUCAGAGAACGAUUUUCGGACUCUGAGAUUCGAGUCGACUCCCGCAGUACGCGAGUCGACUCCGAGACUGCGCGACCAUCAACAGACAAAAGACCAUGUUACUGCCUCUGAGAUUCGAGUCGACUCACAGACAGCUCGAGUCGACUCCGAGACAAGCUUCACGUCAAAAGGCAGAAGACCAACUUUCGGAAACUGAGAGCCGAGUCGACUCCAAGGAAGUUCGAGACGACUCCAAGACUGGAUGAGCCAAAAGACAGAGAAUCGGGAGUUCGGGCUCUGAGAUUCGAGUCGACUCCCAGGACAGUCGAGUCGACUCGAGUGGACAAAAUUCAAAAUUGGAUCCACGGACUUCAGUGGAUGAGCCGACUCCAAAAUUGCCAAGUCAGCUCCAGAAGUUGGCGAGUCGACUCCAGGUCUAGACGAGUCGACUCCAGGUCAAGACGGCAACUUUAAUUCAAAUUUGGAACAGUUGCCGAGUCGACUCCGGAAAAGCGUGAGUCGACUCCUGCUACAGCCGAGUCGACUCCUGAUCGCGCGAGUCAACUCCAACCCACCAACGGUCAUAUUGUCAGGCUGCGCAGAGUGUGCAGAACGGCCAGAAAAGGCAGAGUAACGGCUAGUUUCCGUGGGGGUUGGCUUAAAUAGCCACAGAGGACUGUAGCAAGGCAGGGAACAGAUAUUCCACUCCAAGCAUUCAAGUUUUCAAGCUCUCCAAGUGCUCUUAAACGAAAAAGGGAAGAUCUGCAUUUACUGCUCCAACAACUUCUUCCCAACAAUCAAAGCUUCCUCCUGCAUUCAAGUCGACCACUCUUUCAAGAGGAGACCGGAGUUCCAGAAGCCAUACCUCUUCACCAGCUUAAAAGCGUUUGAGGGCUUCUAACUCCUUUACGAUUAUAUUGUUUUAAAUCUGCUUUUUGAGAAGCUAUUUUCUGUUUUCUUCUAUCUCUUGUAUUUACUUGAUUCAAUCGGGG